GACGAACGCUGGCGGCGUGCUUAACACAUGCAAGUCGAACGGAAAGGCCCUGCUUUUGUGGGGUGCUCGAGUGGCGAACGGGUGAGUAACACGUGAGUAACCUGCCCUUGACUUUGGGAUAACUUCAGGCAACUGGGGCUAAUACCGGCUAGGAGCUCCUGCUGCUUGGUGGGGGUUGGAAAGUUUCGGCGGUUGGGGAUGGACUCGCGGCUUAUCAGCUUGUUGGUGGGGUAGUGGCUUACCAAGGCUUUGACGGGUAGCCGGCCUGAGAGGGUGACCGGCCACAAUGGGACUGAGAUACGGCCCAGACUCCUACGGGAGGCAGCAGUGGGGAAUAUUACACAAUGGGCGGGAGCCUGAUGCAGCAACGCCGCGUGCGGGAUGACGGCCUUCGGGUUGUAAACCGCUUUCGCCUGUGACGAAGCGUGAGUGACGGUAAUGGGUAAAGAAGCACCGGCUAACUACGUG
rnacentral:rRNA from 1 species